rnacentral:sRNA from 1 species
UCCCCCAUUCUCUUCCAGGUACACCCUGCACCCGUCGUUGACAAAUGGCGCCCAACAUGGGGCUGUUUGGAGGUCUCCUGGAGGAGAACGUCGUCCCCCAUGAAUAGGCAAGCCUGUCUUCCUUGUUUGUUGGAGCCUUUGCUCCCCCUCAGAGCUUUUGCCCCACCCCCCAGAGCUUUUGCUCCCCGGCUUCUGGCAACCAUGGACCGCCGGACCUUGGUUCAGAGGCUUGGUGCGUGUUUCUCCCCGGACGAUGCAGAUCUCAGUGUGGUCACUUUGUCAAUCUGUGCUCUGUGGGUGGCGCUCCUGAUGUAAGGCCAUAACAUUUUAGUGCAUCAACUGGGAACUGUGCUCCCCCUAGACUACAGUUGGUGAAGAGAUCAGAGAUUCCUGUUGUGAAG